rnacentral:rRNA from 1 species
GAUGAACGCUGGCGGCGUGCCUAAUACAUGCAAGUCGAGCGAACAGAUGAGGAGCUUGCUCCUUUGACGUUAGCGGCGGACGGGUGAGUAACACGUGGAAAACCUACCUAUAAGACUGGGAUAACUUCGGGAAACCGGAGCUAAUACCGGAUAAUAUAUUGAACCGCAUGGUUCAAUAGUGAAAGACGGUUUUGCUGUAACUUAUAGAUGGAUCCGCGCCGCAUUGGCUAGUUGGUAAGGUAACGGCUUACCAAGGCAACGAGGCGUAGCCGACCUGAGAGGGUGGUCGGCCACCCUGGAACUGAGACACGGUCCAGACUCCUACGGGAGGCAGCAGUAGGGAAUCUUCCGCAAUGGGCGAAAGCCUGACGGAGCAACGCCGCGUGAGUGAUGAAGGUCUUCGGAUCGUAAAACUCUGUUAUUAGGGAAGAACAAAUGUGUACGUAACUAUGCACGUCUUGACGGUACCUAAUCAGAAAGCCACGGCUAACUACGUG